AGGUAGACCAGAUCUCCCCACAUCAUACCUCCCAUAUACUGCCCCAUUCUCUAGUGCCUGGAUGCAGUACAUUAUGACUUAACAUAAUUAAGAUAAGAUAACAUGCUCUCAGCAAGUUGAGGAUCGCCAGAAUUUUUUGAACAGAAGUGUGGCUUUGCUGACAUUCCUAAAGAGAAGGACCCUCCUCAGCACUUGUUAAAAAGAAUGGCCAUCAGGAAAGCUUACCAGACUAAUAAGCCAUCUCAUGACAUCAACUGAAUUUCCUUCCUUCCUCAAAAUCCAGGUUGCUGUUUUCCCUCCACAAUACUGGGAAAGCCUUUAAGAUGUCUGCAGGCUUGGAACCACAGUUAGAUGAUACAUUCUCUGUUUUAACCAGUAAGGAGACUCUUAAAUCCCAAGUUGAUACUUGAAUGGAUGGUGUUGAGAACUAAAAGCAGAGUAUCAGAGCCUUGAUGGAGAAGACCAUCA